GAGCCUACCAUGGUGGUAACGGGUAACGGGGUGUUAGGGCACGACACCGGAGAGGGAGCCUGAGAAACGGCUACCACAUCCAAGGAUGGCAGCAGGCGCGCAAAUUACCCAAUCCCGACACGGGGAGGUAGUGACAAUAAAUAACAAUACGGGGUUCUUUAGGAUCUCGUAAUUGGAAUGAGUACAAUUUAAAUCUCUUAACGAGGAACAAUUGGAGGGCAAGUCUGGUGCCAGCAGCCGCGGUAAUUCCAGCUCCAAUAGCGUAUAUUAAAGUUGUUGCAGUUAAAAAGCUCGUAGUUGAAUUUCGAGACCGGCUUACUGGUCGUGCUAUUGUGCGUACUGGUAUAAUCGGUUUCUCCUUUCUGACGAACUAUAAUGCCAUUAAUUUGGUGUUGCGGGGAAUUUGGACUGUUACUUUGAAAAAAUUAGAGUGUUUAAAGCAAGCUAACGCUUGAAUGCAUUAGCAUGAAAUAAUGAAAUAGGACGUUCGAUCCUAUUUUGUUGGUUUCUGGGAUUGACGUAAUGAUUAAUAGGGAUAGUUGGGGGCAUUAGUAUUCAAUUGUCAGAGGUGAAAUUCUUGGAUUUAUUGAAGACUAACUACUGCGAAAGCAUUUGCCAAGGAUGUUUUCAUUAAUCAAGAACGAAAGUUAGGGGAUCGAAGACGAUCAGAUACCGUCGUAGUCUUAACCAUAAACUAUGCCGACUAGGGAUCGGAUGAUGUUGAUUUUUUAAUGACUCAUUCGGCACCUUACGGG
rnacentral:rRNA from 1 species